GACGCCCUCCCGUCUCCCGCCGGGGUCGCCCCCUGCCGGCGCGCGCGCCUCGUCAGCCGUUAACCGCCUCCCCCCUCGGCGCCUCCCCUCCGCGCCCGCGCUGCAGCGCCGCGGUGCCGCGCCCAGAGCUCGGCGGAGGCGGCGCCCCGUCUGAGGGCUGGGACUCAGAUGGGUGCCGUCCUCGGCUCUCUGGGAAAACGGCCCUGUAGAUCCCCCGGCUGGGCACCAGCGCGGAGGAUGAGGACUCGAUGAUUUUUUUUCUUCCCAAAUGGGAAGAAGUGACCGGGGAUUUGGUGCUCUGACAACUCGUGAAUUUUCCAUCCUAAGGAGAAGAGCUCACCUGUGCCAUGGGAUGGCCUGGAGGCUGUAACACCGCAUCAGAGGGUUACACUGAGGAGAAUCCAGCAUCCUGAUUUUAAUUACCUGCAUUGGAUGAAACAGGCAAGAAGAACAGGGAAUUGUUGCUGUCUGCAGAUAUUUAAGCAGAUCGACGAUCCCUAGCCCAGAGGACUGGGUACACAGAGCUUCUGCAGUGGAGUGGGGAACACAGAUUUUAAGUGCAAUCACACUGAUGUAUGAUUCAUUGAGAAAUAAAGACCUCCUGCAUCUAUUGCUCCCA